AUGGAGAAAGCCAAUUGUAGAAAUACCGAGGCCAACCAGUGGUUUACUUUAAUGCUUACCAGGGACACUAAGGAAAUUUGCCAGUACAUGGAUUCUGUUUGGAAGAAUCAGAUCAAAGGAAGAAACACAGAGUGUCAGACCCUGGCACCUCCCAGAAUGCCCAACACAAACUCUGGCAGAUAUUCUACUCAUCAAUACUCCAUUCCACUUGGUAUUUGAGUCCUUUGAAAUUCGAUUUUAUUUUGUGACAAUGCUGACUUCUACUGAUGGUAGCCGACAUUAUGAGAAGAAUGAAUUGUGUACAUAGCGUUUGAUUUGUACUUCUGUGUGUUAUAAUAUGUCAAUGUAUAGUUGAGCGAUAAGACACCAGAGUGGGUUGGGAAAAUAAAUAGGAAGUUGUUGUCUGCGGCUGACUGUGUAAAUUUUCACACAGGGGGCCCUAAGGUCUUUGUAUCAGCACCUCAAGAAUCAACCUGUAGUCUGUCUUCUGUACCCUGAAAUGUCUUAGAAUCCAUGUGCUUAGUGAUAUUAGGAACAUUGGGUUACAAAGGUAAAGCCAGGUCUGGCCUAAAUGUGCAUUCAUCCUUUCUUGGAUUGUGAGACUUUUGGUGGCAGGAUUUGUGUUUUAUUUUCUCUGAAUCCUGCAGAAUGCUUAAUAGUAAAAUAAUGACAGUAAUAGUAAUGCUGGCAGCUGACAAUUGUUGAGUGUUCACUGUUAACCAAGCAAUAUAUUAAGCACCUUCUAUACAUUGUUUAAUCUUGAUUAUAAUUGUAGUGUUAUUAUUACUAACACCUUAUAGAUAAAGGAAUUUGAGGCUUAAAAUUUGCAUAACUUGCCCACUGUCAUGCAGCUGGUGUAGUGCAUUGAAUAGAUUCCCAUAAGAUACGUGCAAGCCAAGUCCUAAUCCUUGGUACUUGUAAUGUGACCUCAUUUGGAAAUAGGGUCUUUGUUUACAUAAUUAAGAAUCUUAAGAUGUAAUUAUCUUGGAUUUAGGAUGGGCCCUAAAUCCAAUGAUUGGCCUCCUUUUGAAAGAAAAGAGAGGGAGAUUUGAGAUACGUGCAGAGAAGAACCCUGUGUGAUGAUGAAGACAGAGAUUAGAGUGAUGAUGCAUCUACCAGAGAAGGAAUGCCAAAAAUUGCUGACUGCCGCCCAAAACUAGGAGAGGCAUUGAGUAAAUUAUCCCUCAGAGACUUCAGACUUGAUUUCAGACUUCUGGCUUCCAAAGCUGAGAAAAUAAUUUGUUGUUUUUAAGCCACUUAGUUUGUAGUAAUUUGGUCCAGUAGUUGUAGAAAACCAGUAUGGCUAGAAAGGGAUGGAAUUUAUACUCCAUUGUUGGAAACAUGGUCCCAAAGCCCAUGGUUUUGGCCCCAUUCUUUAUACGUUUCCAGUAUUUAUUAGACUGAUGUUAUGUUUACAAUAAAUAGUUAAUAAAUGGGGCUUUUUUUUUUUUUAACAGAAUCUUGCUCUUGUUGCCCAG
rnacentral:lncRNA from 1 species